rnacentral:rRNA from 1 species
AGUGAACGCUGGCGGUGGGCCUAACACAUGCAAGUCGAACGGACGCACAGUAAGCGCUUGCCCUUGCGGGUGGCGGGUGGCGGACGAGUGACGCAUGCAUCGGCAUCUUCUUUUUCGGGGGGGAUAACGGGAGGCAGCUUACGCUAAUACCGCAUACGACCUACGGGAGAGAGCAAGGGAUAUUCGGAGCUUUCGCGAUUGUUUGAGCCGGUGUCGCAUUAGCUAGUUGGCGUGGUAAAGGCCCACCAAGGCAACGAUCCGUAGCUGACCUGAGAGGAUGAUCAGCCACACUGGAACUGAGACACGGUCCAGACUCCUACGGGAGGCAGCAGUAGGGAAUCUUCGACAAUGGGCGCAAGCCUGAUGCAGCCAUACCGCGUGGGUGAAGAAGGUCUUCGGGUUGUAAAGCUCUGUUGUUAGGAAAGAACAGCAGUAGGUGAAUCCCUGGCCGUCUUGACGGUACCUAAACAAAAAGCACCGGCUAACUUCGUG